GACGAACGCUGGCGGCGUGCUUAACACAUGCAAGUCGAACGGAAAGGCCCUGCUUUUGUGGGGUGCUCGAGUGGCGAACGGGUGAGUAACACGUGAGUAACCUGCCCUUGACUUUGGGAUAACUUCAGGAAACUGGGGCUAAUACCGGAUAGGAGCUCCUGCUGCAUGGUGGGGGUUGGAAAGUUUCGGCGGUUGGGGAUGGACUCGCGGCUUAUCAGCUUGUUGGUGGGUAGUGGCUUACCAAGGCUUUGACGGGUAGCCGGCCUGAGAGGGGGACCGGCCACAUUGGGACUGAGAUACGGCCCAGACUCCUACGGGAGGCAGCAGUGGGGAAUAUUGCACAAUGGGCGGAAGCCUGAUGCAGCAACGCCGCGUGCGGGAUGACGGCCUUCGGGUUGUAAACCGCUUUCGCCUGUGACGAAGCGUGAGUGACGGUAAUGGGUAAAGAAGCACCGGCUAACUACGUG
rnacentral:rRNA from 1 species